rnacentral:rRNA from 1 species
UUUAUGGAGAGUUUGAUCCUGGCUCAGAGUGAACGCUGGCGGCGUGCCUAACACAUGCAAGUCGUGCGGGAUUGUGCAGAGUAUCGCAUGGUCUAGCGGCAAACGGGUGAGUAACACGUAGGAAACCUCCCUCAAAAUGGGGAAUAUCUCCGAGAAAUCGGAGUCAAUACCGCAUAAGACCACAGUUUGGCAUCAAAUAGGGGUUAAAGCAGUAAUGCGUUUUGAGAUGGUCCUGCGGACUAUCAGCUAGUUGGUGGGGUAAUAGCCUACCAAGGCUAUGACGGGUAUCCGGCCUGAAAGGGUGAACGGACACACUGGAACUGAGACACGGUCCAGACUCCUACGGGAGGCAGCAGUGGGGAAUUUUGGACAAUGGGGGAAACCCUGAUCCAGCGACGCCGCGUGGAGGACGAAGGUCUUCGGAUUGUAAACUCCUUUUAGAGGGGAAGAAAAAAAUGACGGUACCCUCAGAAAAAGCCACGGCUAACUACGUGCCAGC